GUCUCCUGGAAAUAAAUAAGAAUCGGGGCGCACUGCUGGUCUUUUCCUCUCUCGGGACGGCGGCUGGUGAGCCGUCGCGGUCGUGGCGAUGGGCCAAUGCUGGGAGGGUCCAGCAGCUCCUUAUCAACUCCAGCCGCUGAAGGUGGAAGGGUCCUCGGCCUUUAGAAGAGACCUCGCUGGCUGUGCGGAUGUGGCGCGGAGAGGGAAUUGUGAGAGGCCGUGAUAGCGUCUGGUGGAAGGCCGAUGGGACCGAGUAGAGCCGCUCCAACAUUCAUCAUUUCCUUGUGUUCUCGGGUCUCUAUCUGAUUUCUCGGGAGAUGGCGCUCCUGCGACGGAGAGGGGCCCGAGCACUUCCACUCCACGUGGUCGAACCAGGCUCGUUUUCCAGAAUACUUCUGAUUGAGAAGUCAUAAAUCAUGAACAGUCGCCAGCCAGUGCCCUACUGUAAUGUUGCACUAUAAGGACUAAAGAUUACUUAAUCGCUGAAGAAGUAAGAUUAUUUCAUGGAGCUAUCUUGAGUGGAUCAUCGUUAAAAGUCCCUUGAUAUUGGCAGUGAAACUGCAGAAGGCUCCAGGCUGGAUAUGUUCAAAAUUCGUGCUUGGUCACAAGCCUAGAUACUUGAUGUUAUUCAUGACAUGUAUCCACCAACAUUUUAUUUGCAUGCCUUCUGUUCAAUGUAACCUAGAAUAUGUUGAAAUGUAUUAUUUACAGAUGUCAGUGUAAUGAGUUUAAAUUUGUAUAUUUGGUAACUGAAAAGCAUGGUUGGUAAUUCAAAGCAGUGAAAAUUUCUUGAAGUACCAAAUGUCUUCCUUCAUCUCCAUUUCUUGAAAAUUUCUAUGUAUUAAAUGCUUUGUCAGGAACUGGUGCUUUGGUUUAGUUUCUGCAGUUUAGUACUCCUAAAUGCCCUAGCAUGAUUUUUGAGAAGGUAGUUUUGUGCAUUUUUCAAGCAAUUACACUUUAUAAGGUGCAUAAAUGAUUAGAACAAUGACACUGCCAAUCAAGGCUGUAAACUAUUAUCGAGUAGUGUGUUGCUUUUGCUCUGAUGAUGCCUAGUGUUAGGUAGUGAUAAUAUUCUAACUUUUUAUUUCUUGGUCUAUAAAAGCAAGCAACAAAAUGGCACCAUAUGUACCUAUACUGUACUUGGAGGGUAUUAUGAAUUUGAA